rnacentral:rRNA from 1 species
GACGGAGGGUGCUAGCGUUGUUCGGAAUGACUGGGCGUAAAGGGCGCGUAGGCGGCCGGUUGCGUCGGAUGUGAAAGCCCGGGGCUCAACCCCGGAACGGCAUCCGAUACGGGCUGGCUUGAGACCGAGAGAGGUGAGUGGAAUACCCAGUGUAGAGGUGAAAUUCGUAGAUAUUGGGUGGAACACCGGUGGCGAAAGCGGCUCACUGGCUCGGUUCUGACGCUGAGGCGCGAAAGCGUGGGUAGCAAACAGG